AUUGAACGCUGGCGGCAGGCCUAACACAUGCAAGUCGAACGAGUGGCGGACGGGUGAGUAAUGUCUGGGAAACUGCCUGAUGGAGGGGGAUAACUACUGGAAACGGUAGCUAAUACCGCAUACCAUCAGAUGGGCCCAGGUGGGAUUAGCUAGUUGGUGGGGUAACGGCUCACCAAGGCGACGAUCCCUAGCUGGUCUGAGAGGAUGACCAGCCACACGGGAACUGAGACACGGUCCAGCCUCCUACGGGAGGCAGCAGUGGGGAAUUUUGCACAAUUGGCGCAAGCCUGAUGCAGCCAUGCCGCGUGUAUGAAGAAGGCCUUCGGGUUGUAAAGUACUUUCGGCGGGGAGGCGUUACCCGCAGAAUAAGCACCGGCUAACUCCGUGCCAGCAGCCGCGGUAAUUC
rnacentral:rRNA from 1 species